rnacentral:ncRNA from 1 species
UACAAGUUUGGUUCUAGCUUGAAAUUUAGCUCUUCUCUAUCUGCCACAUGCAAGCUCAAUCAGCGACCCAGCAAGAUGAAAAUAUUUCUCACGAAACCUUUCAACAGAUAAGUCCUUACCUAACUCCAACUCAACUUGCGGUCAGCAGUGCUUAACUUUAUAAAAUUUGGGAAACCAAGAAAUAGACAAAAGAAAGAAGGGUGGUUAAUAACGUGCCAGCAACCGCGGUUACACGUUAAACCUAAGUUAAAUUAAACCGGUCUAAAGAAAGGAAGGCUUAACACUUAUUUUAAAGAGAACUCCCAGCAGUAGUAAGCUAAAGCCCUCCAAAAUAAAAUAGUAAAGCCCAACUAAAAAAGCAGGAAAUAAACUGGAAUUAGAUACUCCACUAUACCCGCUGGUAAAUCAGACAGACACCAGAGCAGUACGGUUAUAACUAAAACUUAAAGAACUUGGCGGUUUUCUAGCCCUUCUCGGAGGAGCUUGUCAUUAAAUUGAUAACCCACAAGAAACCUCACCAUUUUUUGAACAACAGCCUGUAUACCAUCGUCGUCAGCUCACCUUCAAGAAAGUGAACAAAAAGGGAAAACCCCUCACGUCAGAUCAAGGUGCAGCCAAUAAAAUGGGGAUCGAUGAGCUACUUUACUUAACAACAGAGGAUCUGCCACUGAAAGGUGCUUUUGAAAGAGGAUUCGACAGUAAUUUUUUAUAGAAAUACCUAAUGAAACCAGCUCUAGAAUGCGCACACAUCGCCCGUCACUCUCGUCAAACGAGGAGAAAAGUCGUAACAUAGUAGGUGUACUGGAAAGUGCACCUGGAAAAAG